UACGAAGGGGGCUAGCGUUGCUCGGAAUCACUGGGCGUAAAGCGCACGUAGGCGGAUUGUUAAGUCAGGGGUGAAAUCCUGGAGCUCAACUCCAGAACUGCCUUUGAUACUGGCGAUCUUGAGUCCGGGAGAGGUGAGUGGAACUGCGAGUGUAGAGGUGAAAUUCGUAGAUAUUCGCAAGAACACCAGUGGCGAAGGCGGGUCUCUGGACAGUUCCUGACGCUGAGGCACGAAGGCCAGGGGAGCAACGGG
rnacentral:rRNA from 1 species